UUUAGCUGCUACGUCAGGGUUUAAAGUAGUGAAUAUUGAAAAUAUUCAGUAUUUUCAAUAAACAUAUUGACUCGUUGGCGAAGCCAAAAUAUCCGACAGUUCCUGAAUGUCUCUCAACAUUGUGUUCCCGGUUCCUUGUGGGUAAAAUGCUUUUCAUUGUCCGUUCACUGAGCAGAAUCUGCUGCUGGAUCGUCAGUUCUUGGAAUCAAAUGACAUGUGUCAAAGUCAGUCUGUCGCCCAAAGAGACACAUUCCCUCCAAAGGCAGACCACAGCCAAACUUCCAUCCUGUUGAAAAAUGGAGAUAUGGGGGAGGUGUGCAGAAAAAGAUGAAGAAAAUCCAUUUUAUCUUUUUUCCAGAGUCCAUAUGAUGCUGAUUUUCUCAGAUAUGCAAACUCCCUGACAGCACCUAGAAAAUGAAGCAUACUUAUAGUAAAGUUGUGACUUCAACCCUGCCUCUCUCCCCAAUCCCUCAGCAGUGUCACAUGGGAUGGGGGGGGACCAGCACAGACUGGCUGUGGUUCCGAAGGACAUAAGAAUUUCCCCCUUAACCCUAUCAGCUAACAUCUCAUAAAGAGUGAUUUUUGGACGGAGGAACAAGUUCUUUUAGACCCUGACUCUCUCCCCAAUCCCUCAGCAGUGUCACAUGGGAUGGGGGGGGACCAGCACAGACUGUGCCUGGACCAUCAGUUAAUCAGAAACACUGAUAGUGGGACCUCUGAAAAAUCUUGUCUUUGCCGUGAUGACAAUGGCAUAAGGAGUGCACUUCCCCGAAGGCUGUGGUUCCGAAGGACAUAAGAAUUUCCCCCUUAACCCUAUCAGCUAACAUCUCAUAAAGAGUGAUUUUUGGACGGAGGAACAAGUUCUUUAAGAGAAGUGGCAGUGAUCCAGGGUCAGCCUGCAUUCAUUCCUCAAACCAAAAAGAAUUUCAAGGGACCAGUGCCAGUGACGCCCACUUCCAGGUCUACCACCUGGAAGGUGCUGAUGUGCUGGAACCAGGACCAGAUGGAGGAGGCGAUCAGGGGGAACUACAGCAGUGCUGAGAGGGAGGCUGUGGACAGACUCAGCUGACUCAGCUGCAACAUCCUGAAGACUCCAUUGCACGAGCGCUGCCAACCUUGGGGGGCGGACACAGGCAAGAAGGAUUCCUGUCAGCUCAUAUAUGUUGAUAACAACUAAUAAAAAUCCAUAAUGGAUUUUCUAAUAGUGUUGUCUUUCAACAAACAUUCAUCAUUGAUAUGAAAGCACCAAAGCAACUAGCUAGUAGUAAAAGUAUCAGACUCAAAUUGUACUUGCAGUACUACUUUUAAAAAUCAGUAUUUUGUAAGUAAAAACUUCAAGUAUAUCAGGCAUUAUUUUAUUAAGUCUUUUUUAUAUUCAUAUUUGAUAUUUUUAUAUUCAGAUGAUAAUACUAAAUGAUAAUUAUUAAACAAGGUAGUCAAGUCAGGUCAGUAGAGUAUUUAACUUGG